CUGACUACAUAAAGUCAAACCGAGCAUAAACUGCUUUAGUGUUAUUUUGAGUCACUUACACAUAACUUGUCCAAUAAAGUUUAUCAAACAAAUACGGAGUAUUUACCAUGAACUCAAACAUGCGUCAUCGUUGUGUCGUGUUAUUUGCAAUUUUUUUCUUUGGCUUCAUCAUUUCAUUAGAUGCGGCUCCGAGAAGCGGGGAAAAGCGAAAGAAGGGGUCCUCCUCAAAUGUUGCACCGUCCGGGAAGGAGGAGGAUUCGGAAGCUAUAAAAAAUCUGGAAAAAAAUAUUUAUAUUCCACGUUUAGACAACUGUUUUUCAGAUCUCAAAAAGGAUG